UAUUUCAGAAAGAAUUGGGACCUCGAGACCCCAAAUCAGGAAGAAAAUGGACGGAGGAAGAGGGGUGAAAAAAGUUAUUUUUUAACGAUUUGUGAGCCGAAAAGGGGUAUUGCCCAUACAGUGAGAAACCCCGCACUGGCCCUUUCAAUUUCG
rnacentral:ncRNA from 1 species